rnacentral:lncRNA from 1 species
AAGAGACAAUCACGGUUCUAAGCCUGGUCGGAUAAUGCACACUCUCCAAUUGACUAAUCCUUUGCUAAAUCUCUGCUGUCUAUAAUCUUUCAACUGCUAAUGGCGCACUAGGUGAGUUCUCUGUCAAAUCCAUCCAGGGAACAAAAGCGACCUGCACAGAAAACUUGAGAGCGUUUUAGACAGUGACAGACAAAAAUAGCUUUUGCCUUAACUUUUCUCACCAGAAGGCACCAGAAAGCUCUCUAUGUUAGAAGUGUCAUGAGGGAUUUGGCUGAUCUACUCAGAAAAGGCAUGGAGAAAUACUUCCUUACAUGGCUUGUACAGAAUUAAGAAAGCUAGAGACUCCCAUUAUGAUACCUACUAGUCAUUCAAAUGUUCCUCACAUGAUGCCAGAAGCCACAUCCCACGUCAGAAUUGUUUUAGCCAUGAGGAAGAACAGAAACCAAGUUUUGUUGGCAAGAAAACAGAACAAUUUUCCUAACUGAGAGCACACAAGUGAUGCCUUGGAAAAUACAAUGUAUUUCUGAGAAAGGGGAAAGAAUGACAGAGCUUUUUUCUCCAUUAAAGAAGCAUUUACAAGAUCAAAGCAAAAAGCUUUCUUUCGCUCUAAUCCUCGACAGAUGUAAACAGUCAUACACUCUUAACUAGAUGUAGAGCAUACUUCUUGUAAACUGGUGGCAGAGGCAGAAUCACAUCUUCAGUCACUUCAGACCUAACUAAAAAAGAGACAGUCAUUGCCCAAUGCAGCCACAAAUUACUUUCCAUCUUGUGAAAAAAACAAGAAAAAAAUCCUAUUCUUUCUCAUCUUUCAACAAAAUCUGUGUAACAGCUACAGAUCAAAGAAUUCUCCUAUUAAGAGAGCAAAGAAACAACUAUCUCUUCCUACAUGCUUUUACUCAACUGGUGAAUCACAGUUCUCAAUCUUUAAAAUAAAACUUUGCAGAACAAAAGAAAAGGUAAGCUAUUUUGUUGGAAAUAAUGUGACCUUGAUAAUCACAUCCAAAGGUUAAAAUAAAACAGACCUUUGCAGCCUCUGCUGGAGCA